AGUCUUAUAUUCAAAAUGAUAUAAAAUUGCAAAUUUUAAGGUGUAAUAAUUACUAAGGCUU
rnacentral:tRNA from 2 species